AGUCCAGCCGCAGGGGCCACCCGAACAGUCUCUCCUCCUCACAGAAGCCUGGAGCUGGGCAUCCAAGAAGAAGCAGCCUCAUUUGUUUUCUGGUGUCAUCGUAGGUGGCCACCUAUGGCUUUUGGGAAUGUAAAAAGGGCAGCUCUCUGGCAUGUUCCUGACUGAGGAUCUCAUAACAUUUAACUUGAGGAACUUCCUCCUUUUCCAGCUUUGGGAGUCAAGGGAUCUUUGCUUUGCCUCUUCCUCCAGCUAAUCAGGCUUCACCCCUGCACCUUUUCUGACCUGCUUUCUUCUAGCUUCUCACCUGGGGCGGGUGGGUUCUGCACCACCCUCCCACCCUCCUUCCUCCGUGUGGACGAUAGAGCCACAUCCAGCACCACGGACAGCUCCCGGGCGACCAAAAAGAAGAAUGUACUUCAUCUGGUUGGGCUGGAUUCCCUCUGAUAAGCCUUCCCAGUUGACUGAAAGAUGAGGCUAGGCUCUAGCAAGUUGAAGUCAAACCAGCUCCUUCAAGAAGCUUUGAGCAGAAUGAAGUGGGGAGGACCCAGCUUCCAGCCCAGGAAGCCCACUGUACCUGGAGCCAUCUGGGAUAAGACUUUGACCCAUGACUCCCAUAUCCACAGCCUGUCCAUCCUAGCCCAUCCCAGUUUAUCCUGUAUCAUUUGAGCUGGGAUUCCCACAUCCUCUGAGUUGGAAGUCCCAUCUCAAGUCUUCAAUAAAGACUCUUGAAUAUUGAAUCACAUUAA
rnacentral:lncRNA from 1 species